rnacentral:rRNA from 2 species
AGAGUUUGAUUCUGGCUCAGGACGAACGCUGGCGGCGUGCUUAACACAUGCAAGUCGAACGAUGAAGCCUAGCUUGCUAGGUGGAUUAGUGGCGAACGGGUGAGUAAUACGUGAGUGACCUACCUUUGACUCUGGGAUAAGCCUGGGAAACUGGGUCUAAUACCGGAUACGACCAAUCUCCGCAUGGGGUGUUGGUGGAAAGCGUUAUGGAGUGGUUUUAGAUGGGCUCACGGCCUAUCAGCUUGUUGGUGAGGUAAUGGCUUACCAAGGCGACGACGGGUAGCCGGCCUGAGAGGGUGACCGGCCACACUGGGACUGAGACACGGCCCAGACUCCUACGGGAGGCAGCAGUGGGGAAUAUUGCACAAUGGGCGCAAGCCUGAUGCAGCGACGCCGCGUGAGGGAUGACGGCCUUCGGGUUGUAAACCUCUGUUAGCAUCGAAGAAGCGAAAGUGACGGUAGGUGCAGAGAAAGCGCCGGCUAACUACGUGCCAGCAGCCGCGGUAAUACGUAGGGCGCGAGCGUUGUCCGGAAUUAUUGGGCGUAAAGAGCUUGUAGGCGGUUGGUCGCGUCUGCUGUGAAAGGCUGGGGCUUAACCCUGGUUUUGCAGUGGGUACGGGCUAACUAGAGUGCAGUAGGGGAGACUGGAAUUCCUGGUGUAGCGGUGGAAUGCGCAGAUAUCAGGAGGAACACCGAUGGCGAAGGCAGGUCUCUGGGCUGUAACUGACGCUGAGAAGCGAAAGCAUGGGGAGCGAACAGGAUUAGAUACCCUGGUAGUCCAUGCCGUAAACGUUGGGCACUAGGUGUGGGGGACAUUCCACGUUUUCCGCGCCGUAGCUAACGCAUUAAGUGCCCCGCCUGGGGAGUACGGCCGCAAGGCUAAAACUCAAAGGAAUUGACGGGGGC